AGAAAGAUCGAAAUCUGAACUGCUAUGAAAUACGUCCGGUCUGUCGGGUGUACUCUCUAUAAAUAAUAUGUUUUGAAUGAAAAUGAAAUAAAUCUGUAAAAUUUAAAGAAAUCUUAAGUUUUCUUUGUUGUUUAGAUACGAGGAAGUGAAAUAUAAUCUUUGGUGAUUGAAAUUCCCAUCUUUUUAACAGAAUUAAAAGAAAAAGUGCAUGUCUGAUAUGUAUUGGAAGUUAUAUUUUGAUACGAUAUGAUUCUUGAAUAUCGAUAUAUUAAUUGACACAGCCCUAACACCAACCACAUGCAUAUUAAGUGAUAUUUAGGAGUAAUACUGAAAUAUCUUUUGCUUUAGGGUACCAUACACCUGAGGAAUAUAAUCAGUACAAAAAAUUCAUAGAGCUUGGAAGACAGCGCCAGUAUGCAAGACCAUCCCGUGCCAAGUCGGCCCCAGCAGAGAGAUGGGCCAAAACAUUUGAAGAAAGCCUAUUUAGUGAUGAAGAAGAACAAACUACCAAAAAGUCUGCAUCAUCCAAAAGUCUUAGAAUGAAAUCCCCUACAAACAGUAAUAGACGGGAUCCUGUCAAGUCCAGCCAAUCAGGAAAA